rnacentral:lncRNA from 1 species
AUGUGCGAUUAUCACUUUGAAGUUGUCUGUGAAUAGAAAAGAAACCUAAAGGGAAGGAGAUUACAUAAAAAAAGGAUUAUCUUUUAUACCUUCACGCUCAUAUACUAUCGAAUUUUCUUUCUCAUGUUCAUAUGUAAGGGCAUUUGUUCUACAGUUAUUGUAACUUAUUUGAUGCUUUUUUAUGACAAAACAUAUUGUUUCAUUUAAAAGAAGAUAGUGACCACAUGUGGCUGGUUGAAACUCGUGAAAUACUUACAUUUUCGUACAUUCAGACUCCUGCAACUACGAUAAAGGUGUCUAUCAUUGGGUCAAAACAGUAAUCAUUUUCAUUUUAGAUAUGAAGAGUUUAAAACAACGAAUUUAAUCAAUUAAUGUUACGAGUACCAGACAGUAAUAAGCCGGCCAAAUAAAUUAAAAUAUUUGUUAGUAUCACCAAAAUCACGGUUGGUAGUCUAUCUGGUAUUGGACAUGGGAAAUCAAGUUCAUUUUUAACUUAAGCAUUAGUGUAUCUCCAUUUGAAAGCAUUAGAUAAAGCUUAACCGUUUAAAGUUUUUGUUGUGGUGUAUAAUACUUCUGUCAGAAAUAAUGUAAAAUUUGUUUACUGUAUUUAGAAGAUAGAUUAAUUUAAAUCCAGUAACUGUCAAAGAAACGUCAGUUCGUUUCCGGCUUCAGCAAGGAUUAUAUUCUUUCAAUGUUAGUAUUCCACUAUCAUAAAAAUUUCAUUAUCGGGAGAUAACUUAGGUGAGAUUUUACUCUGAAGUACUAAUGCUAUUAAUUAAUCGACUACGACACACAUUGACUUCAGAAAACUUUCUCAUUAUAAUCGAUGAAUGAACAACAAUUCACCAUCAGAAACAGAUAACGACUUUAGUUGUUAUUUAUGUCAAUACAGUAAAGAUUUUCAUUAUACGGAAGCCACGUGGUGGUCGCUACGAAAUUACUAAUCAAAAUACUAUCUGUCUUCAUUGUAGUAUUUUCAUUGAGUUCAAGGAAUGACACGAAACAAAUAUAAAUUCAACUCUCCCCAGAAAAGUGUAUAUUUAUACAUUUGUGUCUAUUAGUGUAAAGACACAACUACUUAAAAGCAGAUAUAUACAUACAAAGAAAAAUCGUAAUGACAAUACACAUCCAUCGCAGACACAAACAUAUACGCAUGUAUGUAUGUAUGUAUGUAUAAUAUGGACAAAAUCGAACACACAUACACAAGGUAUGUGUGUUGUUAGUUCGUGGGUCGGCUGCACUUUUUAGGCGUAAGAGAAAAUAUUUGUAUGUAUGCAUGUGUAUGUAUGCACACACACACGCAUAUAUAUAUGUAUGUAUAUAUAUAUGUAUGUAUGUAUGUAUGUAUGUAUGUAUGUAUGUAUGUAUGUAUGUGCAUGUAUAUAUGUUUGUAUCUAUAUAGAUAAAUAGCUAGAUAGAAAUUUAUAUGUAUUUAAUGUAUAUUUACACAUAAAAUACACUUUUAUGAGGAUGUUGAUUACGUAAAUGCAUUUUUUAAUCGGGAGAAAUCUAAUAAGCUGACUACUCAUAACGCAUAGCACAUAUCAAAUUGUAUUGAGUGGGUCUGCAUGAAUCUCCUAUGUAUAUGUUCAGACCGAUGUGUCAAAAGAGUAAUGAGGAAUCCUAAAAAUUGAAUCCACCACUAAUUUCAAACAGAACCAACCAGAUAUUGUUGUGUAGGACAACACAGAAAAUAUAUUUGUUGUGGAAAUCAGCUGCUAUCUGGACAGCAAUGUGGUAAGAAAAAUACAAGAGAAAGAGAACAUCUAUGACUUAUUGAUAAAGUGUUUGUAAAUUCAGUUCUCAGGACACACUUUAUAUGAUAUAUGUGUAUAUGUAUCCAGCAACAUUUAUACAUGGAUCUCUAAGUAUUCGUAUCUAGAUUAGCUUUUCUCUAAUUUUAAAGGAAUGCAGUCAAAGUGAUAAUUAUUCAAAGAGCACAUUUUGCAGCCUACUCUUGAAGACCUAAUUGUCCCUUAUACGAAAGGUUUGUCCUCUAAGUAAUAGCAAGAAAAUUUAACUAAAUUCACACUCAACUUAAAACGAAAAUGGAAGGACACAACAGGCAUUGUAGUUCCAAAUAUGAAAAUAAAAGUCGAACUCCAAUGUCGUUCUGGAAAUGUAGGCGAUCCGGUCUAAAGAACAAAGACAUUUUUGUCAAAAGGAGCAAUAGUAUUACAAACAAUAUCAUCAUAAAAUAACUACUACUACUAAAACGACAACUGCAAACCACUAUAAAGGCCGGUACAGUACGAUGAGUACCAGCAUUAAUAGAUCACUUAACCAAGUACCAAGCGAUCUUUAGUCACGUCCAUAUACGCUGUCUGUUCAAAUUCUCAUUCCAGUCAAAUUUUUCGUGAUGAACGAGUUCAUUAGAUCCUAGUGUGUACGUACAUAAAUACAUACACACAUAUAUACAGACAAGCACACACACACACACACAUGUGUAUUAAUAACCAAGUUCCAUUAGUAUAAAAUAUAAAAGCAUGCACGUAUUAGUUGAUAGUGAACAUAAUAAAGACGUUCAUAACUUCUUAGGGGUUUUAACAUCAAUACAAAGAAAAUUAUAUAAACUGAUUUAGAUAUCUCUAUUGCAAUUGUUUGGUUGCCUUAAUUAUCUGCUUGACACAUGCUUCAACUUCAAAAGACGAUCACGUUUCAUCAAGUUUCGGUAAUACUUUCAUGUUCCUAGGUAUUAAACAUUCGAACAGUUAGGAAUAAAACAAUUGAUUAUUUCCUAAGGGACUGGGAAAAUGAUUUCGCGUUAUUAAAUAUGGAAAUUUUAACACAUAACGAGAUAGAAUACUGAACUAGACUUAGAUGGUAAUACAAUUUAUAUGAUUAUAUGUGUAACAUGGCGUGUAAUUUCAGAGCGGAAGGUACUACGGUGAAGAUGUGGGAUUUGUUCUAGAAAUGAGCCAGAAAUGAAAGAAUUGGUUUCGAUUCUCAGCUGUUGGGGGAAAAGGAAGAAAUGCAUAAUGUUCUCCAAAGGGAUUUGUCCUAAUCCUUACUUGAUUGAACGCAGUUAUUGAUUAGUGUCCUUCACACUUUGUAAAUAUGUAUAGCAAAACAACAUCUUAUAUACAAGAAAUAUUAAAAUUAGGAGUACAUACAGAAUGUAGGCAUCUAUAGGAAUACUUCUUCAUCGUUAUAUAAACGUUUUUAGUUUAUAUCCUACUUAUAUUCCAGCGGAUAUUAUCAGAAACUAUUAAUACAUUUGAACUUAGAAUCAUACAAAUGUGUUUGUGUAUAUGUGUGUGUAUUUCAAAACUGUUUAUGCGUGUGAGUAGUUGCGCAUUUUAAAACUUAGUAUGUAUGAAUGUGUGCAUGUCUAUGUUUGUAAGUAUGCAUGCAUGUAUUGUUGAUUUGUAAGAAACCAGUGACCAAUACGUCGAAAUCAAAUUUGAACUCAAAUGCCUAACGAAGAUAUUGUUAACUGCAUGUAACAAAAUCGUAUUUAUAUUAAACAGGCAUGCUUCGAACUGCGGAAGCGAUGCGCUCCUGCAAAUCAUACCAUAAUUUGGAUUCCAUAAUUCAUGAAUUAUUUUUCUCAAUAAUCCUUUGUUGGUAGCCAAUAGAACAAUCGGUUUUAUGUGUUGGAAUUCACAUGUGAUGUUACGAAAAUAUUACUAGAAAUUCAUCUCUUAGUUAAGACAACUGAUGCCACAAAUAUGUGGAUUAGACUAUCUUUUCCUUAUGAUAUUAUAAAAGCAAAACCUUGAAAACAAUUUCAAUUAUAUUCUGAUUUUAAUCAGACAACCCUAGAUUAAUACAGACUAUAGCCAUUAAACACUGCAUUAUAAGUGGUAACAUUUAUUUCAGCCAACUAGCUAUAUAUGGUAUACGCAAUUCAAUAAAAUAACGGAUUUCAUAAUCCAAAACUUUUAUGAAAUGUUUUACUAGCAGAAGAAAACGAAAGCCAACUCCUUUACUGAACGUUUCAAUUUGUCUCUUCCGCAAAAUGGAUAAAAAAAUAAAAGAUGUUCGUCACCAACGCGUAGUAGUGCUUGAAAAGGCAUCUUUCUUUAAAUAAUUCCAUUAACUAUCCGUUACUUUCGAACAGUUCGAAAUACAGAUUAUUGAAAAUUUUGAUGAGGGAAAUACACAACAGUUUGGUUGCUAUCCUUCCAAAAAGUAGGUUAAACAAAUUUUCACGAAUUAAUCUAGGUCAUUUAGAAAUUCAAAUUGCCGUGACAGCAUUAGUUAAGGGAAGAACAUUACUGGAGUCAUAUACAUGCAUACAUAUAUACAUGCGUGAAUACAUAUAUGCGCGCAUGUGUACAUAUAUGCACGCAUGCAUAUAUAUAUGCGCACAUGCCUGCAUACAUACUUAUGAGUUCAUGCAUGCAUAUAUAUAUACACGCACAUAUAUCAUAUGUGUAGUAUGUUUGCGCUUUAAGCGCUUAUAUAAAAAAAUUAUAUAUAUAUAUAUAUAUAUAUAUAUAUAUAUAUAUAUAUAUAUAUAUAUAUAUAUGUGGAAAAAAAUCAAGAUAGAAAAUGCUAAAAUAAUUUUAUAAACAACAUUUCAGUACCGGUUUCAGUCAUUGAGAUUUUUCAACUGUAACAAUUAAAUAAUUACAUUUAGAAAAAUUAAAAGAAACGUUUUUUUUUUUAAGUAUUUGUAUAGUGUUCAAAUACAAGUGGCAUUUCCCGUGUUUCUGCCUGUCUCUGUCUCUCUUGUUUACUCUUGUGGGUUCGCGGUCGUUGUGAAUUCUUGGUAAGGAAGAAGAAAAAGAAGGAGGAGGCAAAGGGGAAGAAGGAGAAGAAUUUGGGAGUACCAUGAUAGUAGUAUUUUGAAUGGUCAGUGGAUGGUCAUAUAUAUAUAUGUGUGUGUGUGUGUGUAUACAUAUGUAAUAUUUGAUGGAGAUAUAGUCAUAUGCACAUAUACACAGAUAAGUAUGGUUACAUCACUCCGAUCACACUCACCUAUCAAACUCAAUAUUCAUUCAUGUUACACUUAAUGCUCUCUCUCUCUCUCUCUCUCUCUCUGAGAGAUAUCUCUUCCAUUCCACCCGUCACUUGUUCGCCUAUUCCUCCUCGUAAAUAUGUGAUAGUUGUCACGAUUUCCACGCACGUCAACGGUUGUCUCUACACUUUGAUAGGGUUCGUUUUUGUUUCUUUGUUUGACCGUCUGAAAUAACUGAUAAGGUUCCUUUGCAUUCGAUCACCUUCCCAUACCUCUCAUUAUUUAGCAAUAUAGUCAUCGUUUAAUAGCUGUUGUGACGAUAGAGGAUAACUUACACUUACUCUCUCAUCUUUAGCAAAUCUACGUUCUCACUCCCCUCUUCCAUUUGACCAAGUCGUUCCCCUGUCUCUUUGCUCUCUCCACCAUUUCCUUGACCAGAUACAUUGCCUCUUCACUGCCUGUACUUAUGACCCAUCAUUAUAUAAUAUUUCCCAUCGACUGACUAAUGCAUCCACAUCUGUUCUCCGUUUGCUUGUGUCCAAUCCACACCUAUAUAUAUGAAUAUAUAUAAAUAUAGUUGUAUAUGUGUGUGUGUGCACGUGAAUGUAAAGGGGCGUGGCCUAGUGGUUAGGAUAUUCUACUCACGAUUGAUUGAUUGUGGGUUCGAUUCCCGCACUAGGCGACGCGUUGUAUUCCUAUACAAAAUACUUCAUUGUUCAGUGGCUAGAAGGUGGCAUAAACGUUGGCGCGUCGGCAGCGAUGCUCUUCGGUGUAACUUCUGGCUUUCUCCGUUUUGAGUUCAAAUACCACCUGAUUGUAUUGGGCAACAAGAAACCAUUCUAACGAAGUCAUGUCACGGUAGCAGUAGCUGAAUUUCCAUUGAUAAACUGAACGGCGGCAGGGGAGCAUACGGCUCUCCUAGGUCAUAUAAGGCUCUAAAGAAUGUUCACCAGCAUAGUACUACCCACCGGCAGACAGCUGCUAGGAUAUAUGUAUACAUAUACACACACACACGCACACACAUAUAUAUGCACAAGAGGGUGCUGAAAAGUUCCUGGCUUUAAGGGUAUCGUGAAAGGCAUGGUUAGAGCCCAGCUUGCUUGAAUGAGCUACGAAGAAAUUUGAAGGAUUGUUGCAAUAAGUGUGCAACUCUGUAAGGGUAAUAUGUUAAUAAAAUCAUAAUUAACUGAUCCUCCUGUAAUUUCUUUUAUCCGAAGCCAAAAUCUUUUCAGUACCCCUCGUAUAUAUAUAUAUAUAUAUAUAAUCAAAAUUUAUUCACAUUACUUCGAGCUGUGAAGAAGCCCCAAUGACGAGGCAUAUUCGGCAGUCUGGCAUGAGUAUUGAAACAAAAUUUCUUUACUUCCUCUUCCUUCAAAUUGAGAGGUGGUAGCAGCAGACUAAUUACCCAUAAUUGUGCAAGGUUGAUGGCCUGUCAAUAAUCGGUGAGUGGGAAUAUGGUACAUAAAUAAAUAAAUAUGCGGAGUCAGAAUUGUGAACAUCUGUUUAAUCUUUCUACGAUGUUAGGUCUCACGGGUGUCUGUUUAGCAACUGAGAAUAUACGUAGAUCUCUCUCUGUCUCUCUCUUUCUCUCUGUCUCUCUCUUUCUCUCUGUCUCUCUCUCGCUCAUUCUCUCGCUCUCUCUCUCUCUCUAUAUAUAUAUAUAUAUGUGUGUGUGGCUGAAAAAAACAUACAUGAAUGCUUAUAAAUAUGUAUAAUUGAACGUAUAUAGGUAUGUAUCCGUCACUCUGCGUAAACACACACACACACACACACACACACACAUAUAUAUAUACAUACAGGCACACUCACACACGCACAUUUAUACACACAUAGAUAGAUAUAGACAUAGAUACAGAUAUACUCAUACCUAUAUGUACAUAUGUAUACGUGUGUGUGUAUAUGUAUACAUUUAUAUAUAUAUAUAUAUAUAUAUCCGCACACAUACUCUUACAUACAUGCAUACAUACACACUUAUAUACACACGUAAUUUGCAAAUGUUUUUCUAAUGUGAUAGUUACAUAUAGAUAUUACGUCUUGUAAAGUGAAGUGUGUAUAUCGACGAACAUUGUUAUUUUCUUUAGGUCAACAAACUAACAUUGCUAUUCAAGUGCUACUGUCUAUCUCAAUUAUUUAUGCACAACGUUAAUUUGACAUUUUCAGGUUUCUUUAUUUAUUGCGGAUUAAUUAUUAAAACCGGUUCGUAACUUACUUCUGAAUAGAAGAAUUAAAAUGCUAAAGUUUCAUUCAACAUCUCUCCUGGUGUACUUCUUGCUUCCUCUUUCUGUUCCUCUCCGACAUCUCUCUCACUAAGUGUUUGCUUCAUUUUGUUUAUAUUUCUGUUUUGUUCCUUUGUCUGUUUUUAAUUACCUCUAUAAAUCUCUCCUGUAUAUUCUUUUCCGAGUAUCACCUAUGAUGAAAGAGCGAUAGCCACAAAAUCCCUGUCGCUAUAUUUUUUUGUUGUUUGUUCCUUCUCGAGCCAUGCCUGGCUCAUAAGGGCCGGUUUCCUGGUUUCUUGCCGUAUAGGUUCCCUACCUGGACGGGACGCCGGUCCAUCGCAGGUGAGCUGCGAGAUGCAGGAGAAUGUUGUGGCGAAAGAGUCAUAAGAAGUUUCACCAUUACUCAUGGAGCUUAGGUAUUUUCGCUCAUAAAAAAACAAAUCGUCCGGUCUGAGAUUCGAACCCGCGAUCCCUCGACCGCGAGUCCGCUCCUCUAACCACUAGGCCAUGUGCCUCCACUGUCACUAUAUCACAAAACAUUGUAUUCAAUAUAAUUAUACAAUUAUAAGCAAUAUAAUUUAUAUUCCCUUGAUCCUUGACGUUGUUAUUUAAAUCUUGCUGACAUCACUUUUCAUCCUUCCGGAGCAAACAAAUUAAAGUUCCAAUACAUAAUAGUCCAAUUCGAAUGAUUAUAUUCUCCCCACAAAUGCAUGACAUUUAGCCCAACGUAGAAAUCAAUAUUUAUUUGUGUAGACGUUUGGCCAUGUUCCUAUGUCACCAAUGAAAUCGAUAUAAUUAAAUUGUUUUGGCUUAUCAAUCGAUCCAAUAUUUUAUAUUGAAAAUAAUAUUCAUGAUAGACAAUUGUAUGAAUGUCUAGUUUUUGAAUGUAUAUUACGUAGUUAUAUACAGAGUCAAGACUAUUAAAAAUGUUGCCAGACGCAACGAAAAUUUUAGGAAAAUAAAAAUAAGAAAUAAGUGGUAAUUUUACCGGUGAGUGUGUUACAUUAUAAGGCACAAAAAGAAAAUGACUCUCCCCAGACACAACAGAACUCGUAUAAAGAAUCUUGCAAACCAAAUCCAAAGACGAAAUAAGUCAUAAAUGUUUUCUUAAAAAGAAAUACGUGGGGCAGGAAAUCAGCAAAAAAAAAAAAAAACCUAAGAAUUCUAAUGAUAUAAAUUUUCGAUAUUUUUGACACGGCUAAAUUAUGAACUUAUGAAAGUAUGCAUACUUUGGAGAAAUAAAAAUGAGUUCAGUAUGUUUAAUACUUAAUCAGAAUAAAAUUCAGUGUUGCAAUAGGGAAGAAUAUACAAUGAAAAUCUAUAUGAAGGCACCUAUUGUAUGUCACCAACACUAGCCACAUGCUAGACAAAGUAAUGAAUAAAUCGUGUGAGCAGUUGAACAGUAUGCUGGUGUGCUGCUUAUGUUGUACAGAACAAUAAUGCUUUCCAAUUCUGCCAUAAGGGCAGCUAGGUGGGGAGGUGAGUGUAUGAGUCAAUUACAUCGACCCCGGUAGAUUGUCGAAGGAAAUUCAACCUUGUCCUUUCUAAAACUAUGCAUCUUCAGCGGAGUGCUUUGACCGUGAAAGGAUAUCGUAUAUUCAAGGGUCACAGAUUAGCGACAUGUGUUGCGUUUUCAUACGUUUUAAAUACAUAAUUUACAAACCUUAGUCGAAUACGUUUAUUCAGUUUGUCUGCGAAUACAAAUUGAGUAGGAAAAUACUGAUGGCGAUUUAAAUGCUAAAUUCAUGACCAAUAGUAAUUUCAAGGCCAAUUGAGAAAAAAUAUAUAAUUCUAAGUAUGAUUACAUUUUUCAUAUAUUAAUAACGCUAACGACAUCAGUGAAUAUUUUCUGAAUAACGAUAAUAAAAGUAUGACAUUUGAGAUGGCUAUAUAAAAUGCAAGACUCGAGUGUAAACCGCUAGAUAAUUCUAAGUAGCAUGUUAUUGCUGCUCCAUUUCCAGUCUUUGUGUCUGUAUGCUCAUUCUGGAUCUACGCGUGAAUCGACGUUUAUACAAAUGCAUUUUGGAAGCAAAACUAUAAGGUUAAUAGUAAAUUUUUAAUUAGAUUAAAAUGUCAGCCACUUAAAGCCUCAUUGAUAGAAGUGUAGCAUAUCUGUGAAAAAUAAUGAUGUUAAUGUUCUGCUCAUCAAUAAAAUGCCAUUUUCAUAAAAUGUAUACCUACACACACACACACACACACACACAUAUAUAUAUAUAUAUAUAUAUAUAUAUAUAUACAUACAUAUGUGAAUGUAUGUAUGCAUAUAUGUACAUGCGUAUAUGUGUGUGGGUGUAGGUGUAUAAUUGUGUGUGUUUCUGUAUUAAGAUUUAGAUAAACACGUAAUAUCUAUGUAUUAAUACAAUGGUACUAUCCUAUCAACCCAACUAGAUUCUGUGUGAUGAUGAGGGAAAAUAACACAAGUAUGUUAUGGCUGUCAUUAUGCUGAUUUGAAAAUACAGUGAGAAAGAGAGAGAGAGUAAGAGAGAGAUUGAUUAAGUCAAACAGAGAAAAAGACGAAGAUGAAAUUACCAGUCAAUUAAGAGUGAGAGAGAGAAGCGAAAAAUAGCGAGACAAAAGAGACAGACAUAUUAGCCAAAAAACUAAAUUGAGAAAAUGUAGAAUGAAGAUGGUAAAUGAUGGAAGUGACGAUCUAGUGGAUAUUCAUUUGCUGUUUGUGAUGCUGUAUUUUUGCUUGCUCCGGUACAUAUGGUACUGGUGUGCUGGUGAUGGUAUUGCUCGAUUACAGAUGUUUGCAGUACGGGACAUAUAUUCUAGCAUAUGAUAGCCUUUUUCAUCAUCAAUCCACAACGUAAAUAUUUACCAUCAACUUGUUACUACAUAUACCACUCACUACGGCAGAUCUUAAUAAUACUAAAACUCUGGAGAUGUUUGUGCGUCCCCGUAAUAUCUCAGAAAUAAUAUAUAUUAUCUCAACAUGUUUUUGUAUAUUUAUUCUCAUACUUAGCUUUGGCAGUGCAGUACAAAUCUUUGUGAUAUUUAGAACUCUAUUUAUUAAUGAAAACGAUUAAACACAAUAUUUGUUCGUUAUUUCGUGACAACAAAAAACAUGGCAUCCGUGACGUCAGCACGCAUACACAUAAACAGAACACACACAGAAAUAAUGAGUGACAUAGCGUAUCAGUCAACACAAACACACAUCCGCUAUCCAUGACACAUACACUCACAUAGUCUUCGACCUCUCCAAGCAAAAAGACGUAUGCAAUAUUUUUAUCAGUUAGAAAUAUUUUUAAGUAAAUGUGAUCUCAAAAAUGGAAGUUGUUUGUACAGUAAGCAUUUAUAUUUUAGUUUUCUUUAAUCAGACAACGAUUUGAUGUAAUUUUUAAAUUUAUUUUCAAGUGAAUGGCGAUCUAUCACUUUGAUUCUCAGAAGAGAGAGAGAGAGAGAGAGAGAGAGAGAGUGAAGGGGUGUGUUGUCAUGUAUCAGUAUAUACACCAAUAUAUAUGCGUACAUCUUUUUUAUGUACCUGUGCAUGUGUGAGAGAGAGAGAGAGACAGUGAGAGAGUAGGUGAACGAGUGUUCUCAUGUAUGUGUAAGUGGCACUGUCUCUAUCUGUCUGCCUCUCUCUCUCUCACUCUCUCUCUCUCGCACACACACACGCGUCCAUUUCAAUAUACACGUUCAUACAUCUUUCACUUUCUCCUCUCACUUUAAAUGAAAAGUAAAUAAUUAAACAAAUUUACAGAAAUUAAUGAACAAAACCAGCUGAUCUGGAUGACAGUUCUGAGAGUCAAAGCGACAGAUCGUCUCAAAGGAACACCAUUACAAAUAUUUUUUCAAGUGCAUUCAACGUAUCUUAGCUCCAAAGAUUUGGCUGCUGUUUCUAGCCCGCCCUUCUACCACUUAACAUCUAUUUACGAUAAAAAAAACUAGAAACACCUGCUACGUGGUAGCAGAGCGUGCAAGAAAUAGCAGCCAAAUUUUUCUUUUCUGGGGAAACGAGCUGUUUACGCGCGAUUUCGAUGUCACAUUCGUUGGAAGCAUGCGAAAUAGCCUGGAAUAGAAAAAAUACCCAGGUCGUCCCACCCAAAACUUGGUUCUAUUUUAAAGUAGGUUUCAGUAAUAUAUCCAAACUGUCGAUAUGUUUCACAGAUCAGGCCUGCUACGAUUGGUCUGAAUUUAAGGUCGGUGGUAUAUUGUAUGUUUAUGCAACUUUAGUUCUUUACAUGCAUUCUUGACAGUCUGAAUUUUUGGGAGACCAUAGAAGUACUGGUUAGAUUAAAUUUGGAGUGCCUUCAUUAUAACUAAACAUAUUCACUCAACCGUGUUGGCUCUCUUUGUAGGCGCAAAAUAUGGUAUCUCGUGACACUUAUGCACGAACGUAGCGGGAAACGUAUAAAGGGUUAUGGGAUCUUUUCCUUUUGGUAGACAGAAUUCAACACAAUUUCUAGUUAACUAAACAAUUUGAAACUUCGUAUACUGGUAGAAUGUGUCAAAAGAAAACAUUAUUUUCACUUGGCUUUUUUGAUAAAUUUGUAAAUCGUUUGUUUAACGUAGUUUAAUUUUAACCAAUCCUAUGCUCUCUUUUGUGGAACAAAAUAAAUUAUAUAUAUAUAUAUAUAUAUAACAAUGAAGAAACAUGUGACAAAGAUAUGCCCGAAGAGAAUGGUCCGAUCAAACAUUCGAUUUUUUUAAUUAAUUAACCCACCAUUUCUUUUAAAAUUUUAAACUUGUGAUUCUAUUAACUCUGAUGAGAGAAAUAUAGAAUAUUGCUAUGAUUAAUUUAGCUCGCCUAUAGCAACCUAUAUCUUUUCGAAACGAGCAUAAGAAUUUAUACACGUUCCAGACUCCUUAUGAAUCAAUUUACAUCCGCGUCAUCAGCUUUUCCAUUCGGACUUCACAAGUACAUUUAUGGACUUACACUUUUUUUAUAUAUCUACAUUUAACAAUUUUUUUGCGUUUCUAAAUUUUCAUAUUCUCUUUUACUCUUUUACUUGUUUCAUUCAUAUGACUGUGGCCAUGCUAGUGCACCACCUUUAGUCGACCAAAUCGACCCCAAGACGUAUUCUUUGUAAGCCUAGUACUUAUUCUAUCGGUCUCUUUUGCCGAACCGCUAAGUUACGGGGACAUAAACACACCAGCAUCAGUUGUCAAGCGACGCACAAACAUAUAUACACACAUACAUACAUACAUACAUACAUAUAUAUAUAUAUAUAUAUAUGUACAUAUACAUAUAUACGAUGGGCUUUUUUUCAGUUUCCGUCUACCAAAUUCACUCUCAAGGCUUUCGUCGGCUCUAGGCUAUAGUAGAAGACACUUUCCCAAGGUGCAGAAGUUACUUGCCCAAGGUGCAGAAGACACUUGCCCAAUGAAUUUUUAUAUAUUUAUAAAAUUUCAUGUAUAUGUAUUUAUAAAUUCUUAAUUUUUUUUAUAUAUCAUAUAGAUGAAUUCAUUUAUGUAUGCACUUUGUCUACCAUGGAGAACUUCGUUAAUAUCGAUUGAAUGAAUAUAUUCAUCAGCCCUUCAAUUUGUUUUCUCCUUUCCUUAAUUUUAUAUAUGUGUGUGUGAGUGUGUGUGUUGUAUAUAUAUAUUGUAUAUGUAUGUAUGUAUACAUGUAUAUAUAUGUGUAUGUAUAGAACAAGAAAAAAUAAUAUUUCUCUCUUUUUAUAGAAACAAAAGGGUUCAUAGGACUGCAAAAGAAUUGCUCACAUAUAAAUGAGAUGAAGAUGAAGAAGCAUUGGUUAUAGAACAAACAUUAAAUUUAGGUCAACUACUUUAUAUACAACACCACUCCUCAGACAUUUAAGCAUAUAUAAAAAUCACCAUGGUUCCCAAACACAUAAAAAUAUAUAAUCGAAAAAAUACAAAUAGUAUGGCCUAACAAAAAGUUAAAUAUAAACGGCUAAAAAUUCAAAAACUACCAAGAAACCUAAUAGACAAAUAUAAAAUAAGCAAAGGUAAAAAUAAAACAAAAUAAAUGUCCACCGACUAAAAAAGGUUUUUCAGAUGAUUAAAAUAUUUUUUAAGUUUAAAAAAAAAAUUAAAUAUUUGAAAAAUACUUGAAAAAAGUAUUUUACUUCCCUCAAACAAAUACGUCCAAAGUUGAUAAGAAAACAGACUUACACAGGUCAAAUUCACAUACAUCUUGAAAAAACCAAUGCUUCUUUAUAAAUGUAUGUAUGUAUGUAUAUAUAUAUAGAUAUAUAUAUAUAUAUAUAUACACACACAUACUUACGUACGUACAUCCAUACAUACAUACGUACAUGCAUACCUACAUAUUUAUCGGUCGAUCAAUGCAGCUGUUUAAAAUAUACUUAGGUACGUUAGGUACUGGUUAAAGAAUAUUUGAUUUAGAACCUGAUGCAAAAUAUAGAGAUAAAUAAACAUAAUAUAAAUUGACAGUUACUUAUAAGUUUUGCCCAGCAGGUAAAUCAUACCAGUAGGGUUUCUUGACAGUUUUCAUGAUAUACAAUUAAAAUUGUACAAACAUAAUUGUGUCUGAUUAAGGCACAAGUUCAACAAUUGUAAAGAGGGAGUUAUUCGAUACCAUUGACCACCACUUAUCAAUCGGCACUUUUGCUUAUACUAUAGUUAGACCGUUCUUCAUUUGCAUAUAUAAAUUCUGCUCAUGCACACACAUUCUUACAAAGACGCACAAGCACAGACAUUUAUAUAUGAGAUGAACUCUCCCGCCGAAGACGACGUAUGAACUUUCAGCGUUUGCUGAAAGAUCUGCACAAAUGAUUUUUUUUAAUUUGUGAUCAAACGUUCGUGCAGUACAUCUGAUCAUUCUCUCCAUCAAAUUGACGUUGUUUCAGCAAGUGCUCGGUGUACUGCGCGUCAAGUGUCGAAGUGAUCACAGAACAACGUGAGAUUAAGUGUUUUGCUCAAGAAUGCAACGCACCACCCUCUUUAGGAAUUGAGACUGCCACCUCGCGAUCGUGAGGGCAGCACCCUAACCAUGCAUUCUCUCAUCUAUAUAUAUAUAUAUUUACUUGGGAUUUGAUGCGUCGCGUUCUAUUAAAUAAAUAAAUUACCUCUCUCUCUCUCUCUCUCUGUAUAUAUAUAUAUGUAUAUAUAUGUAUAUAUAUAUAUAUAUAUAUAUAUAUAUAUAUAUACGUACAUGCAUAUAUGGGUACAGGACGUCACCUACUGUGCAAAUAACAUAGCACACGAUAGUUACACGAUGUGGACAGUAAUUACAGGACAAAAACGAUUGAAAUACGUAAAUAACGAGAAAAAAUGGAACACAGGAUAAUUUAACAAAGAAAAAUACCCUUCAUCAGUUGUCGGCUGUCUAUCUACUUCUCACUUCGAACAUUCAAACGACAAUAUGUGUCUUUAAAGACAGUAGGUCCUAUCAAUUCUAAAAUAAGAAUUAGGAUUUAUGAAGGGUCAAAGUUGGGAACAAAGAAAUAACAGUGGAGACUUACAGCGAAACCGAACGAGAAUAGGCCUUAAAGCUUAUAGAGGACUAUAUAUAAAAAGAAAGCUUUGACCGCUGCAAAAUAUACGUUGCUGUAUUUGUACCGUCUCAGCUUAUUUUUAUUUCAAAUCCAAGCAAGGCCAAUAAUGCGUUGUCAUAAGAUUUCAGUAAAAUUUACCACAAAUGAAUAUUUUUUUCAAAAAUGGUCGUUUUCCUACACUAACUUUGAGAUCUUAAUUCUAUGUUUGGAAACAAAUUAUGUUUAUCGCGGCAAAUUACUUAUUAAGUGGUAUUAAUGAUAUAAUUAUGUAAUUAAACAAUCUAUAUUUCAGCGAAGAUUACACAAAAUUUUGUGUCUAUUGAGAGGACGUAAAGCUCUCACGAUUCAUGUUUAGAUUCCUGCUUUGAAUAAAUUCAAACCUACAGUGGCACAAACAUUUAACAAUACAUGCAAUAUAGUUUAUUUAAUGUAAUGUAUUAUCGGAUUGAAAUACCCUUUUCUAUGCAUUUUCUAUGUUCUAUACAGUUGUCUAUCUCCAGAUUUAUCACGUUAUAUAUUUACAUUUAAAAGGAAAUGGAAGCGCAAUGGUCCCGUGAUUAGGGCAACGGUCUCGCUGUCGUAGGAUCGCGGUUUCGAUUCCCAAAUCGGGAGUAUUUAUUGAUCGAAAACACCUAUAGCUCCACGAGGCUCCCUCAGGGGGUGGUGGCGAACUCUGCUUUACUGUUCCUGUUUCUGUUGUACAUGUAUUUUAAAGGGCCAGCCUUGUCACACUCUGUGUCAUGCUGAAUCUCCCCCAAGAAGUAAGUUAAGGAUACAUGUAUCUAUGGAGAGCUCAGCCACUUGCACGUUAAUUUCACGAGCAGGCUGUUCCGUUGAUCUGAUCUACUUGAACCCUCGUCGUCGUUAACGAUGGAGUGCCAAGCCUAUUAAAGAUAUUAACGCCAUUACUAAUGUUAGAAACCCUGAGAAGAAUUAGUAUAUAGCUUAAUCAUUAAGCUCAUGCAUAUAAGAACUAUUUAUAUACACCUGUCAUUUGUAUAGAUUAAACAUCAUACGAAACUUAAACAAAUCACUGAACAAAAUCGACUUUAAGCAUUAUAUGUCAAUGCUCGUUUCUUUAUUAAUCUCGUAAAAGUUUUGCUGUAUCAUUUCUUUAUUAUCUUGUACAGUAAUCUACUGUGUGUAGAAAUGGCGGCGAAACGUUUGCACACCAGGCGAAAUGCUUAGCAGUAUUUUGUCUGCCGCUACGACUUUUCCUUUCAUUCUUUCGGGGUCGAUAAAUUAAGUACCAGUUACGAACUGGGGACGAUCUAAUCGACUUAAUCCGUUUGUCUGUCUUUGUGUGUCCUCUCUGUGCUUAGCCCCUUGGGGGUAGUAAAGAAAUAGGUAUUUCGUCUGCCGCUAUGUUCUGAGUUCAAAUUCCGCUGAGGUCGUCAUUGCCUUUCAUCCUUUCGGGAUCGAUAAAUUAAGUCCCAGUUAUGCACUGGGGUCGAUAUAAUCGACUUAAUCCGUUUGUUUGUCCCCUCAAUCUUUAGCCCCUUUUGGGCAAUAAAGAAAUAAGAUGUAGAUAUUUAGUCGUAGCUUCCGGUUUAUUAUCCUUAACAUAUGUAAUGCUGAUUAUUUCCUUUUCGGGCCACCUUACAUUGCUCUUCUGUGCAUAUUAUGAUAUACUUUGUUUACUCUCCGUUUUGUCUAACAUAUGUUACUCUUUACUUUCCACUUGUUGCAACCUAUUUCUUUUAUUUUACUUUUAGACCUUCAUAGCUUGAUUGGUCUUUGCCGAUAGCUUUAAUCUUCUUUAUAGUCUAUCAAAGAUUGUUGAUUCUCCGUUUCGUCGACCAUAUCUUUUUAUUAUUUUUUUAUUCUCUGCUUGGUCUACCAUACAUCGCUUUUAUUUUCUAUUUAGCCUACCAUAGGAUGCUGGGUUGAAUUUUUUCCGAUAUUUUUCUUCAUUUAAUUUACUGUCUGGACUAUUUGGAUGCUUAUUUUCUGUUUGGUCUAUUGUCUACAGUUUACUCUUUUUGUUAGGUCUACCAUACAUUGUUCUACGCUGAAAAAUAAUAGAAAAUUAAUCGGAGCUAGUGCUUAUGAACAAUUUUGGGAAGACCAAACGAAUUCUUUCAAACACAGUGAUAUAUGUGUAUGCGCGCUCACGCGCGUGUGUGUGUGAACGCGCGGGCGCGGUUUAAUAUUUGUGUGCAUGAUUGUAUAUAUGAAUGUAUGUGUAUAUCUAUGUACGCAUAUGUCUAUAUGUGUCUACUUGUAAGUAUGUACGUGUCUGUAUAUCCGUAUGAAUGUUAAUAUCUGUUUUUUUCAUUCUUCCUACUCUUUUGAAAUCUCUGUCAAUAUAUACACAUUUACAUAUCUUUUAUCUUUUACUAGUUUCAGUCAUUAGACUACAACCAUCAUGGGGCAUUGCCUUGAAUUUUUAGUUGAAUGAAUUGAACCCUGUACAUUUCUUUAAGACGGGUACUUAAUCUAUGGGCUUCUAUUGACAAAUGGCUAAGUUAUGUGGACGGAAACACACCAAUACCGGUUGUCAAGCUAUAGUGGGGAUAAAAACGCAGACAUACACACACACACACACACACACACAGAUGCACACCAAGAUGCACAUGCACACACACAUAAAUACAUAUUCGUAUGUAUGACAACCUUUCUGUUUUCCUCGACGAAAUCCAUUCACAACGCUUUGACCUGUCCGACACUAUAGUAGAAGACACUUGUGCAUGCACUGAGAUUGAACCGGGAACCAUAUGGUUGUGGAGCAAGCUUCUUAGAGCACGCCCACGAUAUGUGUAUAUAUAUAUAUAUAUAUAUAUAGGUCCCGGGUUGAGUCGGGGUGAACCACAGUAAAUAAGGUACUCAAUACAUAGCAGAGUAAAUUAAUUUAUUUUAUAGAAGGAGCUUCUACAGGACUAGAACUGUUUCAUUCAAAAGAAAUCAUCAGGAAGCUCCCUGAUGAUUUCUUUUGAAUGAAACAGUUCUAGUCCUGUAGAAGCUCCUUCUAUAAAAUAAAUAAUAUAUAUAUAUAUAUAUAUAUAUAUAUAUAUAUAUAUAUAUAUACAUGUUUAUUAAUACAUACAUAAAUAUACAUAUACACACAUGAAUAUAUUUAUAUAUGAUGUAUGAGUAACCCUGUGUGUGUGUAGAGCGUAAUCUAUAGACUUUAACAUACGUAGUGAAACAUGAAAAGUAAACUCUGAUGAAGAGUUCACGACUUGUGGUAGAGUUAAUUAUUAGCUCUUCAUAAAAUUUCACUUAAAUACUGUUUAUAAUCAACAUUUUAGUGAGUAAUAAUUUAACCAGUAACAUACAUACUGAAUAUAUGUGAAACAUUAAACAAGCAUAUUCACUAAUGGAUAUAGACAGCCGGUUAUAAGGCUUAGUUCUGUAAUUAUGCUUCUCAUUACGUUUAGUGUUAAAUAUAUAUACAUAUAUAUAAACUGGAGGAAAAUUUUUGAGGUGCACAUAUUUGAAAUAGUAAAGAGUAGAUUGGACUCUUUCUUCUCUUAUAUAUUAAAUGUUGUCUUUUCAAUCAUUUAGAUAUAUUGUGUUAUGUAAUUUGAAUGGUAUAAUUACACCAUUAACUAGGAUUUUUUUUACCCUUUUCCAUUCCAUGCGGUACAGCAGCUCACACUGACGCACACACACACACACAUAUAUAUAUAGCUGUAUGCGUCUGUACGUGUUUAUAAGUUUAUGCAUAUAUAUGAAAAUGUCUCUUCGCAAAUUCAUUUAACUAAAAUCUAAGUAAUUACUCGAGAGUCCCAAUAGAUUAUUCAGUCGUGAUUCGGCUUUCCAAAUGUUGUAUUAGAAGAAAUACAGGUCAUUGACAUUUGUAUGUCGCUGUUUUUCCCCAGGUCACACAUACACCAGAGAAACCGAUGAUGCCGUCAUUAAUAUGUCAUAUAAAUUUUCGAAUACAUCUCGUAUCAUAAGAUUCAUAGUAAAUAAAAUAUAUAUAAAAGUAAGAUACGAUUGUAUUGUCAAUCAGAAUAACGUGGAAAUAAUCCAUACUUGAAACUAUAGAAAUACAACUUCUGUUUCCUUUGUAUUUAUGCUUUUUUUCUUUUUUCUUCUUUUUCUAGUCAUAAGAUAUCAGUGAGACUUUAUACACGACAUGGUUUUUCCUUUCUUUUUGAUUCUAAACCAGAUGGAUUCUAUAAGG